UACAUGGUUAGUGUGAGGGUUUCUGGC
rnacentral:sRNA from 1 species